UAGGCCUGUUGAUUUUAAUAAAUAUAAUUGGAAUUUUAAAAAGCUAAUUUGUUAUAGUAUUAUCCUAUUCGUAACUCCAAGAAUUGAGGGUACUUAAACGUUGAAGGGUUUUUGUUGGGUUUAAACGAGACAGACCCGGCAGAUCCUCACUUCACCAUUCGGUGUUAAUACCAAAGGAUGUUAUUCUGCUGUGUCUCUACAUCAAAGAACGAGCCCUGAUCUGUCCCACCGCGAAUCACACGUCGUUGACGCACGUUCCUCGUUGAAUUUUCGUAACGGAAAAAUACAACUUUUUCUAUUCGAUUUUAGGUUUCUUCUCAGUCCAGUACCCUACCUUUGUUUUCCGCACUCCGAAAUGUCUACAGGGGGUGCUCGUGCUUAACCUUUUACUUUGGUUGACAAAAAGGUGUCUACUUUUUUAUUGUAAAGCGCUCUGUGAAUACAGGAAUUUUGGGAAGCAGAAUAACACAUUACUUUACGUUGAGGACAUCCUAACGGAGCGAAGGGAGAUCCGGGCACGCGCCUGCCGCCGUCCGUGACGCUGAUUGUAAACCGACGACCGUCAGUCUGUCCUGUUCCUGCUCUGAAGCUUAAGGAAUGAACGAGGACAUGAAGGACACUUAUUCAAUCGAUUUCCCCCUUUUUAAGGUAGCCUAACUAAUCGGUGGCAUGACACGUGACGUCGGUCUUAUAGAUAUAUUAGGCCAUGCACUUUUAAGGGCCAGAAAGCUGAAGAUGGUCGGUUCCAACAGUCUCCGAAACCAGACCAAAGAAGUCGCGAGAGACUACGGUCAAAUCGACGAGGACGUUUUUGGGAUGGUGCCCUGGAAACGUGAUGAGAUGAACAACUAUAAACAGUUGCAGGUUAGGGAGGCCUGAGGACGGCUGAGACGCGAGAGGAAGGAAAUCGAGGUCGAGAGGACCGGGAGAAGAAUGGAGAAGUCAGAGAGAGUUGUAAGGGAGAGAACAGGGGAGUAGUGACUUCAGCGAUGUGAGAGCCUGUACGAAGAGUUAAGACAGGGAGGAUCGAGCAGGAGAGUCAAGGUCACCCUGGUUACUGAAGGGAGUUUUCAAAUAUUUUAUGGAAGGCAGAAAUAGUGGGCCUGAACAGAAAACAAUUAUGGGGUCCAAUAUCUUGCUCGACACCUUGAUGACAAUGGUCUCCAAAUACAGCCCUGGAGAGUUAUAUGCUGUGCAGGCUUUUGAAAUAGCCCUGGACUAACACCCAAUUUACAGUUUUUUAACCUGUCUAACAAUAGUAUAAAUGAAAGAGAAGGCCGUGACAACAGCGAGGUAUGAACACUCCGCGAGGUGGUGCUACUACUAGAAUGUAGAUUGUUAGCAUAAAUCUGAGGAAUGCAUUGUUAUCCUCCUCUUCUUCUGAAACCAACAUUGUGGGAUGUCACAUUUGAGUCAAGGCUCAUUCAGGUUGAUUCAGCCAGCUGUGGUGACACAGCGGAGCAGCAAGGCAGUGGACCCAGACCGCCGGUUCAUUUCGAUUUCUUCUGCUUCCUGCUGUCUGGAAGGCCGCGACUCGGGCAGCACCAAAGCCUAGCAGGACAGAAUGUUAUUUUUAACAGGUCUGACGCUUAAAACAACCUAAAGUACCUGGAUAAGGUGACCUUGCAUCGGCUGUAGACCGGUUCUGACCAACAGUCCUGUUUGUAGUUUGCCCUAGGAGAGGCUCAGAAGGAAUUCCGUCACAGUCCUGGAGUCAGCCUCAGUUGAGCUCAGUCUUCCCAUUCACCCUGUAGCAUGUGAUAUCUGAGGCCUCAUUUGCAUGCCAGCUCAGAUUUCCUGUCCUAUCAGCAUGAAGAAUCAAUUUGCCCUGGUUCAGAGCCGCUUAGCUUACCAUGGAAUAUGGCAAUGCUGUGCUCAUGCGACUGUAAACUCAGAAAAAGUUAAUCAGAAGGAUGCUCCUCAAGAGAUAUCUGGUGUUCAGAGGUGG
ensembl:lncRNA